rnacentral:rRNA from 1 species
ACGAAGGGGGCGAGCGUUGUUCGGAUUUACUGGGCGUAAAGGGCGCGCAGGCGGCUUUGUUUGUCAGGCGUGAAAGCCCCGGGCUUAACCUGGGAACUGCGCUUGAGACGGCAGGGCUAGAGAUCGGGAGAGGAGAGUGGAAUUCCCAGUGUAGAGGUGAAAUUCGUAGAUAUUGGGAAGAACACCGGUGGCGAAGGCGGCUCUCUGGACCGAGACUGACGCUGAGGCGCGAAAGCGUGGGGAGCAAACAGGA